GUUCGGCUGGGAACCUCGCCAAGUCGCUUCGCGAGCCUUCGCCAGAGGCCAACCAUCAGAGUACUCAUCAGUUGAUCCGAUUAAGUGCCGCCUCCUCCUCGCCUUGGGCGCGAUAGAGUACUCGGAAUCUCGUCUCUACUCCACCAGAAUCCUAUCUAUAUGGUAACUAUCCCUUGCGAGAUUUUCUCCUCCACGGCACCGACAAUUACGGGAUACUCCUCCUAUUGCAAUCUUCCCAAAUAUAUCUCCUCUAAUCUAAACAUAUCUAAUAUCUAAAAAUCAUAUAAAAAAUAAAAAAUAAAUCUCCGAGAUAUCCUUCCAUAUAAAUCCUUCGAGGAAUCUUGCGUGAAUCCAUUGGCACGGCCAUUACUCCGUCUAUAAAAAGGCGGGCCGCUCCCCCCCCCCAUGUAACAAAGGUACGCUCUGACAAGCUCAACAAUCCACAAUUCUCUUUAGAGCAUCUAUCUGCUGUCAGCACCUUGGUCUGAUCCCCACGCCGGAGGGAGGGGUUUUGAGCGGCCUCGCCCCGGCCGUUUACUUUUGUUCGUCUGUGCGGUCUCGCCCCCAAAUAUCCGAGGGUCCAGUGCGAGGAGACCGAGCAAUAUUGACUGUUGGGGCUCGCCCCAGUUUUUUACCACACAAGUUGGCACGCUGUGGGAACGACAGUUCUCUAUCCACUGCGCAGCCGCAAUCUACCCAGACAAGGGCCAGUUAGCCCCCCGGGGAACAGAUCCAAUCCUAUGGCCGACCCAGCCCAAGCUCCAGAUUAGAAGGUCUCCACCGUGAGAUACAGAUUAUGGCUGAGAAGCAUGAGGAUAAUGAAGAGAAUAAUGGUCGCCUGAUGAACUCUCGUGACUGGCCAACCCCCCACUUCCAGCUGCCCAACUCAUCCCUGAUUGUAGAGAGAUCUCGCCAUCGAAUCGUUCAGGAGGAGGAAACCGUUUCCAGAAAUAUCAGUGCCGAUCAAGAGGGCGGGGGGAGACGCCAAGCACAAGGCUCCUCCGUGCGUGAAAAAGUUCCUCUGAAUCUAGUUAAAACUCCAACAGAUCGAGAAGGGGGAGGAGCCCGCGCAGAAGUGACACGUCAGGGCACUAGAUAAGUCCACUCACAAAAAGAUUCGAGAAUUGGGACGCACAGGCUCGACGCCAUCAACACCGGGGCAGGUCUGCCACAGAGUAGUAACUUGGACACACUAAUUAAGCAACAGAACGCCGUUUCACAGCCGGGGUAUUGAGGCGCGGAUUUCAUCAAAGUUCAAAGCUCACCGCCCAGCUCGGUAUUUAUGAAGGAAAAACAGAUCCGAUGGACCACUGGAUCGAUACAAAGAGUCUGAUGUCGCUCCCAAGGUUGCUCGGACGAGCGGGUUCAUGCUGCAAAGCGUUCUCCGCCACUUUGAAGGGACCCGCCAGGUCAUGGUUCGAAAAAACUGGUCGCCAGGAACAUUGAUUACUUGGCGAUCUCAGUCGACUCUUCGUCGCAAUUUUAUGAGUUGCAGAAAGGAAAUCGCCAAAGAAUGUUUCUCACCUGUUCACAAAUUCACAAAAAGAGACGGAGAGCCUGAAAGAAUUCGUGAUGAAACGAUUCAAUCAGGCUAUUUUAGAAGUCAAGGGAUCCCAAGCGACAAAGUAGAUAAAUCAUGGCUAUGAUGGAAGGACUCCGAACCUGGCCCGCUGUUCGCUCCCUCUCCAAAAAAUAUUCCUGAAACUUUAUCAGCACUCCAGAGCCAACAAAGCCAUUAAGUAUAUGCCGCAGAGGAGGUGGCCAAGGCCAAACGAAGGCGACGAGGGAAGGAUGAUCAAAAGAGGAAGGAACUUUAAUACGAGGGCGAAAACUGAUUACAGGGAAGAAAUGAGUACAAGAGACCUGACCGAGAUCCCACACGAUUCCAAUGAUAGACGUCCUCGCACCCCCCUCGACGACUGAGUUACCUCUCCCACCACUCAACGCCCCGUCGCCCAAGUACUCUCGAAAAAUUAAGCACGAAGAGUUGUCAAAUGGCCCGGAAAGAUCAAAAAACUGACCCCAGAGAGAACAAAACAAAUUUGUGAAUUUCACCGGGACCACGGACACAAUAUUGAGGACUGUUUUCAACUAAAGAAAAACAAAUUUGCCAGACCUCAUUAAGAGGGGUUACUAAGGAAGUUAUGUAGCGACUCGCCACCAACCCAAUCCCCCCGAAAGAAAGAUAAGGCGACAAACAGACCAACUGCUGGGAUAUACAAACAAUUCCCAUGGACGUUUCAGGAUAGAGGGCGGUUAGUCGACUUCAUCCAGGAAAAGAAGCCAGAAGUGCCCAUUUAGACCGGCGAGGAGAGAGUUUACAACCUCUCAUCCUUUGUUGCCGAUAAAACACCUACCCUUCAGGCAAAUGAUGAUUUGAGGGGCAUUGCAUCUAACCCACGACGAUGCCUUGGUCGUCUCAACUUCAUUGCCAAUUUCAACGGUCCAGAGGAUUUGAUCGAAAAUGGGAGUUCGGCAGAUAUCUUGUUCAUUCGGCAUUCGAAAAAAGAAAAUUGGGAUGGACAAGAUUAGCACCCUUUAUACCCCCUGAUCGGAUUUUGGAGGAAAUACCGACGCACCCCUUGGGAUGGUCAACUCGCCAAUAACCCUCGGGGGCGACCCACACCAGCCCACCGCUUGAUGGUUCUUGUGGAGGAUUUUAUUGUGGUAGACUGCCCCUCGCUUAUAAUGCCAUCAUGGGGCGGACCAACUUUGAGGGAAGAAUCAAGGCGAUACCUCGACUAUCACCUGAGCUAAAGUUUCCCACUCCAACAGGGGGAUUGGCGAGGAAAAGGGCGAUCAGAAAGUGGCCAGGCAAUGACUCUCUCGGCAUGAGGGUCGAAACCUCUUCAGCCGCCCACCCAAUAGCAAUUACAGAAAUGGGGGCGACCACAGAGGUACUUAGAGAUGAAAUGGAAACAACUCACCCUCGCAGACCCCCGGGAAACCAAAACACCAAGCCUCUUGAAAGAAGAGUCGUCCCCAUAUCCAUACAUCCAGAAUUACCCUGAUCGCCAUAUCAUGAUUGGUACGGAACGUUACCAAUGAGAUUCGUUUAUCUGAUAAACUUCUUGAAAGAAAAUUCCCCGUAUUUGCCUGGUCGCAAAAAGAGACGUUCCUGGCAUAGAUCCUGGAUCGCCAUGCCAAAAUUGAUUUCACCGAACCGAAGCAUUCUUCCAGUUCGCCAAAAGCGAAGAAAGUUCGCCCUGAACGCCUAAAAGUCAUUGAAGGACGAAGUAAAUAAACUCAUCAGAAGCUAACGUCGACGAGAGGCCCCACUAUCCGGAUUGGCUAGCCAAUGUCUUAGUCGGCCCCCAAAAAGGGGAAAAGUGAGGGUGGUGUGUAGAUUUCACCGACCUCAACAAGGCUUGCCAAAAGGACAGUUGCCCUUGCCAAAAAUAGAAUUAAUAGUGCGACGCCACCUCCAAGCACGAGCUCCUAAGUUUUAUGGACGCCUUCUCGCGGAUAUCAACAGAUAAAGAUUUUUUGUUUUGUUUGGUUACCCUACUGACAUUGAAAAGACCUCUUUUAUCACAGAACGGGGGUUGUAUUGCUACAAAAGUCAUGCCAUCGGAUUUGAAAAAUUGCUGGAGCGAGUACCAGAGGUAGUCAAUAAGAUGUUCAAGGAAACAAAUCAGGAAGGACCAUGGAAGUAAGUUAUAUAUAGAUGUAUGCUGGUUGAAAAGCCCGAUCAUCCGACCACAUACGCCCACCGUGAAGAAGCAUUCAACAUCCUGUGUCGCACGGAUGAUGUUAAAUCCCUCCAAAGUGCAUAUUUGGAGUGUCGUCCGGGAAAUUUUUUUUAGGAUUUCUGGCACUAACGUGAAUCGAAGUAGAAAGUUAAACCGGAUCAGAAUCCCAAGCCCUAAUCACGAAAUUCGCCCAGAAGUAUCCGAGAAGUACAGCAGAUGACGGGCGAGAGAUGCCCUCAACAGAUUUGUCUCAAAGUAUGCGGACAAAUGCCUCCCUUUCUUCAAAAAAUCCUAAGGAAAAAAGCCAGGGCUUCAAGAAUGAGGGAAUCGAAAACUGCGUUCCAACAGCGUGGAAAGAGUACCUCGGGUCCCCGCCUUUUACUUACAGUCCCCGCCACCAGCGAGGACCUUACGAUAUUUGUCCAUCUCGCCCACCGCGUGUGAGUGCCGUGCUCAUCGAGAAGACGAUCAGGUCCAAAGGCCUCUUACCAGAAGUAGUCUCGGAUCUUCGAAGGAAAAGACACCCUUCGAAGCAGACAGAGUGGCGGUCUUUUGAGCCCAACCUUGGCGGAGGUCACGAGCUUGAGUCUCUUAGACAUAGCGAUCACUAAUGUAUGAGGGUUCUAGAAGGUGAGACGUCGGAGAAGGUCCAAUAGUGCAAAUAGUGAGGUCAAAAAGUACCGAAAGGACAAGGGAGCCCCUUAGAUUAUAGAGAUAAUCAACGGUCCAGAUAUACUCAUAACAACGAGUGGGAUUGUGGGGACGUUUCGAACCAAAGUUCCGCAUUUAAGACCGCCUUGCCACGUGGGCUCAGUCUCGAGUAGUUGCCACCAUCAUUAAAGCACGUCAGCAGAAGAGAAAGAAAACAAACGUUACUCGAAGUCCAAAAUGUUCCAUCUCGGCCACUUCGAGUAGGGGGGCUACUGUGUGGGGAAAAAUACACCUAUUAAGUGAAAAAGUAACCUCGCCCCAAGGGAGGAUGGACAUCGGUCUUUUUCCCUUCGUCCUCCCACACCUUGUCCCCCCACCCCCCCCACUACCUCUCCAUGAAGUCCAAAACUAUAUCUCCGAACCCUCUUGACCGAUGGUGGUAAAACAGGCCCACGUUCGGCGGGACCUCGCCAGCAUCUUCGCAUGAGCUCGCCAGAGCCCCCAUCAGAGUACUAUCAGUUGAUCCGAGUUAAAGUGCGCCUCCUCCUUCGCCCUGGGCGAGAUAGAAGUACCGGAAAAUCUCAGUAUACUCACCAGACUCCUAUCUCUAUGGAACAUCCCUGCGAGAUGAUUCCUACAACUGGCCCGACCAAUUAC
rnacentral:lncRNA from 1 species